GACAGAGGGUGCAAACGUUGUUCGGAAUUACUGGGCGUAAAGAGCUUGUAGGCGGUUUGUCGCGUCUGCUGUGAAAAUCCGAGGCUCAACCUCGGACUUGCAGUGGGUACGGGCAGACUAGAGUGUGGUAGGGGAGACUGGAAUUCCUGGUGUAGCGGUGAAAUGCGCAGAUAUCAGGAGGAACACCGAUGGUGAAGGCAGGUCUCUGGGCCACUACUGACGCUGAGAAGCGAAAGCAUGGGGAGCGAACAGG
rnacentral:rRNA from 1 species